AGAAAGCAAAGACGAAGUCAAAGGCGAGCAGUCGCGGCGCACUCUCGGUGCCACCGUCUGCUGCAUACACCUCACGUUUCCCUUCACGUGUGUCUCUCUCUCUCUGUGCGUGUGUGGAGGUUAGAAGCACCCGAUGCAAGCUACAUGUCGCUUAGGGCUCGUCAUGUGGAGGGGCAGCCAUCGUCGUUGGUAUAGCCGUCAUCAGGCAUGCUCCUCACCACUUACACCAAUGCUGGGUGCAUUGUGGAGUGCCCACCGCAUGCGGCACUCGCCGGCGCUGGAGCGUGGCGCUGGUGACUUGAGGGCCGUGACGCGACUGCCGCGUGGCAUGUCCCCGUUUCAGUCAUCUCGCGCUGCUGCCCCGGCCUCACAGCAGCGCGACGCUGUCGAAUUUUGCCCUGACGGUGGUAGCCACAUUGGCCAUAGCUUAUCGCCUUCCACUAACGUCGAAGGUGCCCCCUCGUCGUCCGCGCAGCCAAGCGAGCAGCUACCGCCGUGGCCAGUCGACGCCUUCGAAUUCAACGCCGUUACGGCACACGGCGGACACGACGUUCGUCUAGCCUGGGACGCCAUUUUUUCCUCCUCCGACUCGGCCACUGCUGACGCUAGCGGCAACGAGAGUGCCACAUCCACACUGAUGGGUGCCGGCGCUGUGCCUGAUACGACAUCACCAUUGCUCAACACCGCGUCUCGGACGACACCGAAGCUGUCUCUUGUCACUCUCGACACGAUUCGGCAACUAAAGACAGUAGAGGAGACGGCAGAGGCGCAGGCAGCGCUGCGCGGUGGCGGUUGGGUGUGCACGGGAUGCUGGUCGAUUGUGCGCGCAGACUGUAGCGACAACACGAGUAGCGGUGCGUCCGACUCAACUGGUCUCUCAUCCUUCCCCCGCACCAUCUGCCCUGCGUGCCGCACACUGCGCCACGACGCGCGCAUGUGGUCGCACACAGUUUCUCUGCGUCGUCGGCCCGAUCUCUGGCAAUGCGGAUGCUGUGGAGAGGCAAACGCGCGUGCUGCCGCGAACUGCCGCUGCUGUGGGGUAGCACGGUCAGAAAGCAUUGACACGGCGGAUGAUAGUCAGAAAGAGGCUUUCGUGCGCAUGACGAUCGCCGCCGAAGUGGACUCAUACCCGAUCGGGCAUGUCGUCGUCACGCGAAACCGCACGACGCGCUGGCGCUGCGGGGCUUGUCGGGAGGUCAACUCCCUGCAGAUAGUGGUGUGUCGCCACUGCGCACGCGAGCGGUUUGCUGUCACGGUAAGCUGUCCCACGUGCGAUGCCCCGCGUGUCUUGUCAAACGCGGUGGUGUUUGGCGGUGGUGGGGCUGACGCACAUGUGACACGAGGGCCCGACAGCCACAAGGCGCUGGACACCGCCUCCCCGUCAUCUGCUGGUACCGCUGGUGCCUCUGGGGGCGGUCAUACGGCCACGCCAAACUCCUCUGCGCGCGUCUUUGGCCCCGAAAACUGCUAUAACCCGAACUCGACGCAGCUCACCUGUCUACAAUGCCACAGCCCUCUCCAUGGCGGCCGCGUGACCACCGUGAGCGCAACGCCGUCGUGGUGGUGCGCCUGCGGCGUUGUGAACACCAUGACGGCGUACAGCUGCCUUCGUUGUCGCCUGCCGCGUGCCUUGGAGUGCCCUGAGAAGUUGCGAGCGCUCCUGCGGAGCGCCGUAGCGGAUAGUGUCUCAGCCUCACCGCCUCUGUCUGCACACGAUGCCGAUGCUGCACCCGAUUGCUCUGAGGCGUCACCGAAGUGGGACUUUAGGUCUUGCACGAACUGGAUGUGCGACAGCUGCUGCGGCGUAAACACUGCUUCAUAUCAAGUGGUCGCGGAGAGUAGCUUGCCGCCUUUCUCGGACGCGGCCUGCCCCGACCACACGAAGCGCGGUCGUCGGCUGUGGAUGCGGCACGGCGACGCAGCGUGCCGCCACUGCGGUGCCCCGUGGCAUCACCACGUCUUGCAGGAAGGCAACUCCUGGCGCUGCGCGUGCCACGCGCUCAACUCGCGCGCCGACGCCUUUUGCACGAGCUGCGGGCUUCCGGCGCUGGAUGGGGUUCGGCCGGACAUGCUUUCUUCCUGGUCUAAGGGGGACUGGCGAUGCCCAUCGUGCGGCAGCCUCUGCUACAGAGGUCGACAGCGGUGUUCCUGCGGCACACCUCGCCCACCUGCACGACUCGGCGGCGCGAUAUGAUGCCGCUGACCUGUAAGCGAGGGCACGGUUGCGUGCAUGUGCGGCAGCGUCUGGAGGCGGGGAACAGGAGUUGCGCACAUGCGUUGCAACCGUUCUUGCAGAGGCACUUCGAUGCUCUGUCGUGAGGCCUGCGGUCGCCUGAAGCCGAAAGAACAACGAAGAGGGAAUUUGGCCACGCGCAGGCACACAUAUACAGUGACUCACACGUGUGUUUUGCGGCAUGUAUCUGUCUGUCGGAGCCGAUAUGAAUGCCCCCCCCCCCCCUCCCCCCUCAGCGCAGACGGCAUGCUGGAGGGAAGGCGGGCCUCACGGGAUGGGCGUGAGAGGGGUCGCAAAGAUGCGAAGACACUUCUCUUCUCUAUAUGGCCGCCGUCUUGUCGUCUCAUCGACUCCUCCCCAAUCCCCUCGUUUACUCAUGAAAGGUAGCAAUUGCUGUGAGGGCACCUGCGAUGCCUGGCGCGCCUCCAACUGCACUCUACACCCCCCCCUUCCUCACCCACACCCACAAUCUUCCAUCCUCGUCUCCCGCUUACGUAG
rnacentral:misc_RNA from 1 species